rnacentral:rRNA from 1 species
AUGAACGCUGACAGAAUGCUUAACACAUGCAAGUCAACUUGAAUUUGGGUUUUUAACUUAGGUUUGGGUGGCGGACGGGUGAGUAACGCGUAAAGAACUUGCCUCACAGCUAGGGACAACAUUUGGAAACGAAUGCUAAUACCUAAUAUUAUGAUAAUAGGGCAUCCUAUAAUUAUGAAAGCUAUAAGCGCUGUGAGAGAGCUUUGCGUCCCAUUAGCUAGUUGGAGAGGUAACGGCUCACCAAGGCGAUGAUGGGUAGCCGGCCUGAGAGGGUGAUCGGCCACAAGGGGACUGAGACACGGCCCUUACUCCUACGGGAGGCAGCAGUGGGGAAUAUUGGACAAUGGACCGAGAGUCUGAUCCAGCAAUUCUGUGUGCACGAUGAAGUUUUUCGGAAUGUAAAGUGCUUUCAGUUGGGAAGAAAGAAAUGACGGUACCAACAGAAGAAGUGACGGCUAAAUACGUG